GACGAACGCUGGCGGCGUGCUUAACACAUGCAAGUCGAACGCUGAAGCUUGGUGCUUGCACUGGGUGGAUGAGUGGCGAACGGGUGAGUAAUACGUGAGUAACCUGCCCUUGACUCUGGGAUAAGCCUGGGAAACUGGGUCUAAUACUGGAUACGACAUGCCACUGCAUGGUGGUGUGUGGAAAGGGUUUUACUGGUUUUGGAUGGGCUCACGGCCUAUCAGCUUGUUGGUGGGGUAAUGGCCUACCAAGGCGACGACGGGUAGCCGGCCUGAGAGGGUGACCGGCCACACUGGGACUGAGACACGGCCCAGACUCCUACGGGAGGCAGCAGUGGGGAAUAUUGCACAAUGGGCGGAAGCCUGAUGCAGCGACGCCGCGUGAGGGAUGACGGCCUUCGGGUUGUAAACCUCUUUCAGCACGGAAGAAGCGAGAGUGACGGUAUGUGCAGAAGAAGCGCCGGCUAACUACGUG
rnacentral:rRNA from 1 species